rnacentral:rRNA from 1 species
GACGAACGCUGGCGGCGUGCCUAACACAUGCAAGUCGAACGGAAAGGCCCUGCUUUCGUGGGGUGCUCGAGUGGCGAACGGGUGAGUAACACGAGUGUAACCUGACCUAGACUUUGGGAUAAGUUCAGGAAACUGGGGUUACUCUCGGAUCGGAGCCCCUGCUGCAUGGUGGGGGUUGGAAAGUUUCGGCGGUCGGGGAUGGAUUCGCGGAUUAUGAGCUUGUUGGUGGGGUAGUGGCUUACCCAGGCUUUGACGGGUAGCCGGCCUGGGAGGGUGACCGGCGACAUGGGGACUGAGGUACGGCCCAGUCGCCUACGGGGGGCAGCAGUGGGGAAUAUUGCACAAUGAGCCGAAGUCUGAGGCGGCGACGCCGCGUGCGGGAUGACGGCCUUCGGGUAAUAAACCGCUUUCGCCUGUGACGAAGCGUGAGUGACGGUAAUGAGUAAAGAAGCACCGGCUAACUACGUG